rnacentral:RNase_P_RNA from 1 species
UGGGCCGGCCAGACGGUCGCGUCGGAGGCACGCCCCGUGAGGGGAACGACUCCGCCGAGGAACGUCCGGGCUCCGCAGAGCAGGGCGGUGGGUAACUCCCACCCGGAGAAAUCCGCGAGAACAGUGCAACAGAGAGCAGACCGCCGCCGGCUUCGGCCGACGGUAAGGGUGAAACGGUGGUGUAAGAGACCACCAGGGGCCCGAGUGAUCGGGCUCGCUGGGUAAACCUCGCCCGGAGCAAGGUCAGACAGACACCGAUGAAGCUGCUCGCUGAGGUGUCGGGUAGACCGCUAGAGGGCGCCGGCAACGUCGCCCCGAGAGAGAUGGCCGUCGAAGGGGAGAGAUCCCUGGAACAGAACCCGGCGUAUCGGCCGACCCACUUG